GCUUGCACUCGUGGAUCAAUGGCGAACGGGUGAGUAACACGUGAGUAACCUGCCCUCCACUCUGGGAUAAGCGCUGGAAACGGCGUCUAAUACUGGAUACGACCGACCCUCGCAUGGGGUGUUGGUGGAAAGAUUUAUCGGUGGUGGAUGGACUCGCGGCCUAUCAGCUUGUUGGUGGGGUAAUGGCCUACCAAGGCGACGACGGGUAGCCGGCCUGAGAGGGCGACCGGCCACACUGGGACUGAGACACGGCCCAGACUCCUACGGGAGGCAGCAGUGGGGAAUAUUGCACAAUGGGCGAAAGCCUGAUGCAGCGACGCCGCGUGAGGGAUGACGGCCUUCGGGUUGUAAACCUCUUUCAGCAGGGAAGAAGCUUUUGUGACGGUACCUGCAGAAGAAGCACCGGCUAACUACGUGCCAGCAGCCGCGGUAAUACGUAGGGUGCGAGCGUUGUCCGGAAUUAUUGGGCGUAAAGAGCUUGUAGGCGGUUUGUCGCGUCUGCUGUGAAAAUUCAGGGCUUAACCCUGGACGUGCAGUGGGUACGGGCAGACUAGAGUGUGGUAGGGGAGACUGGAACUCCUGGUGUAGCGGUGGAAUGCG
rnacentral:rRNA from 1 species